CCUUCAGAGAUCUCAGAGCUUUUUUUUUUUUUUUCUUUCAGAAAACUAGAAUGGGCCUAGGAUUGGGUGACAUACUGAAACCAUGGUCAACUGAGGAAUAGAGUCCAGAAGAGGCUUUGUUGGAACCCAGUGAUUUACGGCUUCCCUUCAGAGGGGCAGGAACCAAGCCAAGCAAAAUCAAUAUGGUUUUUCAGAGAGGUAGGGAUGAGUUGAAAAGAGACCUUAGGUCACAAACAUUACCACUUAAGGAGAAAUGCAACUCACCCCAAGGACCUCAGAUGAUGUUUUUGUGUAUGCACAACCCAUUGGUGGGUAAAAGAGUUUUAUUGGUUUUAAAAAUUAUUAUAAAAAUGGCCAUAAUAAAGCAUUCGAGAAAACUGAAAAGUAUCGAAAAUAACCCUAUACCUCAGGGAAAUAAUCUCUCUAUAUAUUUUGGUGAAUUUCCUUCCAUAUUUUUCUCUACAUAUAUAUUCAACAAUAUAAAUAUAUAUUUUAAGUGAAAUCAUAGUAUGAAACUGCUUGUAAUCUGCUUCCUACAUUUAAUACUACAUCUUGAUACUUUCUCACAAUAGUAAAUGUAGUUCUACUUCUUGAUCUUUGGUAGCCACAUAGGGCUCUAUUGCCUGAUAUUUCUGAUUUUAGCCUGACCUAUAUUGGUUAACACUACAUCAUUUGAAUUGUUUCUACAUCAUUGUAACACUACAUCAAUAGUAAUUGUUUCUUCUUUCUUUUUCUUAUUUCAAUAUGUUGGUUAGAACUUGUAGAAUGUGCCCAAAUAUAACUUAUUCUUAACUUGAAUUUGAUUUUAUAACAGUACCUUUAUUAUUUCACCAUAGUUCCUGUUGUUUUUUAAAAAAAUAUUUAUUUUUUAGUUAUGGGUGGACACAAUAUCUCUAUUUUAUUUUUAUGUGAUGCUGAGGAUUCGAACCUAGUGUCUCACACAUGCUAGGCAAGCACUCUACCUCCGAGCCAAAAACCCAG
rnacentral:lncRNA from 1 species